rnacentral:rRNA from 1 species
UACGUAGGCAGCAAGCGUUGUUCGGAAUUACUGGGCGUAAAGAGUGUGUAGGCGGUGCUCCAAGUCUGGUGUGAAAAUCUCCCGGCUUAACUGGGAGGGUGCAUUAGAAACUGGAAUGCUAGAGGAUGGGAGAGGUAAGCGGAAUUCCUGGUGUAGCGGUGAAAAUGCGUAGAUAUCAGGAGGAACACCUGUGGUGUAGACAGCUUACUGGACCAUUUUCUGACGUGAGACACGAAAAGCGUGGGGUAGCAAAACAGGA